rnacentral:tRNA from 1 species
UGGCUCAGCGGUUAAGAGCACUGGCUGUCCUUCCAGAGGACCUGGGUUCAAUUCCCAG